GCCUACGGGGGGCAGCAGUCGAGAAUCAUUCACAAUGGGGGAAACCCUGAUGGUGCGACGCCGCGUGGGGGAAUGAAGGUCUUCGGAUUGUAAACCCCUGUCAUGUGGGAGCAAAUUAAAAAGAUAGUACCACAAGAGGAAGAGACGGCUAACUCUGUGCCAGCAGCCGCGGUAAUACAGAGGUCUCAAGCGUUGUUCGGAAUCACUGGGCGUAAAGCGUGCGUAGGCUGUUUCGUAAGUCGUGUGUGAAAGGCGCGGGCUCAACCCGCGGACGGCACAUAAUACUGCGAGACUAGAGUAAUGGG
rnacentral:rRNA from 1 species